GGUCCUGUAGCAUAGUGGUCUAAUGCACUACCCUGUCACGGUAGGUUACGUCGGUUCAAAUCCGAUCAGGAUCG
rfam:Synechococcus phage S-CRM01, complete genome.